UACAGAGGUCCCGAGCGUUGUUCGGAUUCACUGGGCGUAAAGGGUGCGUAGGUGGCAGGGUAAGUCGGAUGUGAAAGCUCGGAGCUCAACUCCGAAAUGGCAUUGGAAACUACCCAGCUCGAGGACUGGAGAGGAGACUGGAAUUCACGGUGUAGCAGUGAAAUGCGUAGAUAUCGUGAGGAAGACCAGUGGCGAAGGCGGGUCUCUGGACAGUUCCUGACGCUGAGGCACGAAGGCCAGGGGAGCAAACGGG
rnacentral:rRNA from 1 species